rnacentral:rRNA from 1 species
CUACGGAGGAUGCGAGCGUUAUCCGGAUUUAUUGGGUUUAAAGGGUGCGUAGGCGGACGAUUAAGUCAGCUGUGAAAUGCCCGCGCUUAACGCGGGAAGUGCAGUUGAUACUGGUUGUCUGGAGUGCCGUUGCCGUGGGGGGAAUGUGUAGUGUAGCGGUGAAAUGCAUAGAUAUUACACAGAACGCCGAUUGUGAAGACACCUCACGAAGGGGUAAAAGACGAUGAGGCACUAAAGCGUGGGGGUCGAACAGGAUAAGCAGCACGGGAGGUGACAGCAGGAAACGAUGAAGGUAAAACUUGGUAUAAAGACCGCCGGUGGCCUAGCGAAAGCGAUUAGUCAUCCACCUGGGGAGUUAGAACGCAAGGUUGAAGCUUAAAGGAAUUGACGGGG